CAGGAAUCAGUGAUUUUAAAGAGGAUUCCAGAUUUCAGACUUGAGCUCCCAUUCACUGAAAAUGAGAGAGAUGCUAAGUGCAGUUCUGGACAUAUUAGGUUUCAGAUGCUUGUGAGGCAUCUAAUUUGAAUAUCAGUACUUAGGGUUAGAGGAGGAGGUGGAAGAGUUGGAAGUACAAAAUAAUAAAUGUGCAAAGCAAUGGAAAAUUCUCCAGAUAUUCCAAAAAGACCAAAGAACAGUAAAUGGAUGGAAAUCACAGAAACAAAAUCACAGAAAUCACAGAAACAGAAACAGCUGUUGGGUGGAUGUGUCCAUGACUUCUCAUCUGGAAUUAGCCUGUGGAUGUGUCCUCUCCAGCCAAUCCCUUCUUAAAGAACCAUCGUGACCCUUGGAAUACUGGUGGGGUCUAGUAGAUCUACCCAUCACCCAUGGGGUCCCCAUAGCAUGACGGCCAAAGACCGGUUACCACUCAAGAAAGAAGCUUCUGAAAAGCCUUUCUCCUAGACACCAG
ensembl:lncRNA